GCAAAGAAUGAACUUUUCAGCAUGUUUCACGCAUCAUGAAUGCCAUGUGAUGAAUUAGGUUGCUUGCAUUAGAAUUCACGAAUAUGUUGCAUUGCAUAUUUUUAUGUUGAUGUGGAUGAAUGUUGGAUGAUCCAUAGCCCUCGAUCUAUGAUAUGACGAUGUGAUAUGUACGGUACGGAAUGUAAGACCAGUGGGACCCAUUCUACGUUCGCUGGCACUAUGUAAGGGAAAGACCAGGACCCAUUCUACGUUCUGGCACAGUUGGACACUGUUAUGUUAUGAUAUGUAAGGGAAAGACCAGGACCCAUUCUACGUUCUGGCACAGUUGGAC
rnacentral:lncRNA from 1 species